rnacentral:rRNA from 1 species
CCUACGGGUGGCUGCAGUGAGGAAUAUUGGUCAAUGGGCGGAAGCCUGAACCAGCCAAGUCGCGUGAGGGAUUAAGGCCCUAUGGGUCGUAAACCUCUUUUGUCAGGGAGCAAGGUCGUCCACGUGUGGUCGGAUGGAGAGUACCUGAGGAAAAAGCAUCGCCAAACUCCGUGCCAGCAGCCGGGGUAAUAGGGAGGUUGCGAGGUUUAUCCGGAUUUAUUGGGUUUAAGGGUGGCGUAGGCGGGACCUUAAGUCAGCGGUAAAAUUGCGGUGCUCAACGCCGUAGAGCCGUUAAAACUGUGGCUCUUGAGUGAGCGAGCAGUAUGCGGAAUGCGUGGUGUAGCGGUGAAAUGCAUAGAUAUCACGCAGAACCCCGAUUGCGAAGGCAGCAUACCGGCGCUCAACUGACGCUGAGGCACGAAAGUGCGGGUAUCGAACAGGAUUAGAUACCCGUGUAGUC